rnacentral:lncRNA from 1 species
GAGAGUGAGGGUUUAGGCUAUAGAGAGAAAAGAUAGGAGUGCUAGUUGUUCAUGCCCCUAAGUUUAUUAGUUACUUUAGAAAAUCAAGAAAGGUAGCAACUAAGUCAAGGUAUAAUGUAUCUUCAUCUUCUUCUUUUACCUUGUUUUGCUAGCUUGAGUUUUGAUGGGGUUGUGUACAACUACUCAAUCAUCAUGCAUGAAAUUAAGUAUCUUGAGUGUUAGAUCAAGACUUAGAGGAAGAAAAUGAGCAUAUGUUCUCCAAGGGUGAAAACUCUUGUUUUUCUUCCACUAAAUCUUGUGUAACUCAAGUUCUACAACUUGGAAUGGUGAUCCGUCGAAGGGGGGGGUGCUAGAUACAUGAGUUAUGUAGUAAACCCAAGUUGUAGAUCACAAAUCUAGCAAGUUUUGAAACCUUUGAGAUUUUUUUCCAAAACAGUCCACUUUAUAUGUGAGGCUUUGAAAAUCCUAAAAUGGCUACUGAUUUUGUUUUUGUUGGGACUGUUUCUGUCGGUUAAAUGUAUUUUAAAAAUCUGGAAAAAAUCACAAAAGUACUUUAAGAAGUUAUCUACGUGCAGGAAAAAGAACGGACACGUUUCGAGUUAUAUAUUAUGCGUAAUGAUUAUUUCCGUAAAGGACUCCAUAAAUAUUAUCCUACGAAUAUCUCACUGUGUAUACACUGGAAAAUUCCAAAAUUUUU